CCUACGGGAGGCAGCAGUGGGGAAUUUUGGACAAUGGGCGAAAGCCUGAUCCAGCAAUGCCGCGUGAGUGAAGAAGGCCUUCGGGUUGUAAAGCUCUUUUGUCAGGGAAGAAACGGUGAGAGCUAAUAUCUUUUGCUAAUGACGGUACCUGAAGAAUAAGCACCGGCUAACUACGUGCCAGCAGCCGCGGUAAUACGUAGGGUGCAAGCGUUAAUCGGAAUUACUGGGCGUAAAGCGUGCGCAGGCGGUUUUGUAAGUCUGAUGUGAAAUCCCCGGGCUCAACCUGGGAAUUGCAUUGGAGACUGCAAGGCUAGAAUCUGGCAGAGGGGGGUAGAAUUCCACGUGUAGCAGUGAAAUGCGUAGAUAUGUGGAGGAACACCGAUGGCGAAGGCAGCCCCCUGGGUCAAGAUUGACGCUCAUGCACGAAAGCGUGGGGAGUAAACAGGAUUAGAUACCCUGGUAGUCCAGCCCUAAACGAUGUCUACUAGUUGUCGGGUCUUAAUUGACUUGGUAACGCAGCUAAGCGUGAAGUAGACCGCCUGGGGAGUACGGUCGCAAGAUUAAAACUCAAAGGAAUUGACCGGNNGAGAGUAGCGACGACGACGACGAGGGAGGAGG
rnacentral:rRNA from 1 species